rnacentral:rRNA from 1 species
GACGAACGCUGGCGGCGUGCCUAAUACAUGCAAGUUGAGCGCUGAAGGUUGGUACUUGUACCAACUGGAUGAGCAGCGAACGGGUGAGUAACGCGUGGGGAAUCUGCCUUUGAGCGGGGGACAACAUUUGGAAACGAAUGCUAAUACCGCAUAAAAACUUUAAACACAAGUUUUAAGUUUGAAAGAUGCAAUUGCAUCACUCAAAGAUGAUCCCGCGUUGUAUUAGCUAGUUGGUGGGGUAAAGGCUCACCAAGGCGAUGAUACAUAGCCGACCUGAGAGGGUGAUCGGCCACAUUGGGACUGAGACACGGCCCAAACUCCUACGGGAGGCAGCAGGAGGGAAUCUUCGGCAAUGGACGAAAGUCUGACCGAGCAACGCCGCGGGAGUGAAGAAGGUUUUCGGAUCGUAAAACUCUGUUGGUAGAGAAGAACGUUGGUGAGAGUGGAAAGCUCAUCAAGUGACGGUAACUACACAGAAAGAGACGGCUAACUACGUG